rnacentral:piRNA from 1 species
UAGCUGCGGUCUGAAGUCGUCGAUGAAGC